CGUGGGUAACCUGCCCAUAAGACUGGGAUAACUCCGGGAAACCGGGGCUAAUACCGGAUAACAUUUUGAACCGCAUGGUUCGAAAUUGAAAGGCGGCUUCGGCUGUCACUUAUGGAUGGACCCGCGUCGCAUUAGCUAGUUGGUGAGGUAACGGCUCACCAAGGCAACGAUGCGUAGCCAACCUGAGAGGGUGAUCGGCCACUCUGGGACUGAGACACGGCCCAGACUCCUACGGGAGGCAGCAUUAGGGAAUCUUCCGCAAUGGACGAAAGUCUGACGGAGCAACGCCGCGUGAGUGAUGAAGGCUUUCGGGUCGUAAAACUCUGUUGUUAGGGAAGAACAAGUGCUAGUUGAAUAAGCUGGCACCUUGACGGUACCUAACCAGAAAGCCACGGCUAACUACGUGCCAGCAGCCGCGGUAAUACGUAGGUGGCAAGCGUUAUCCGGAAUUAUUGGGCGUAAAGCGCGCG
rnacentral:rRNA from 1 species